rnacentral:rRNA from 1 species
UACAGAGGUGGCAAGCGUUGUUCGGAAUUACUGGGCGUAAAGCGCGCGUAGGCGGCCAUCUAAGUCAGACGUGAAAUCCCCCGGCUUAACCUGGGAACUGCGUCUGAUACUGGAAGGCUUGAGUAUGGGAGAGGGAUGUAGAAUUCCAGGUGUAGCGGUGAAAUGCGUAGAUAUCUGGAGGAAUACCGGUGGCGAAGGCGGCAGCCUGGACCAUUACUGACGCUGAGGCGCGAAAGCUAGGGGAGCAAACGGG